rnacentral:SRP_RNA from 1 species
GCCGGGCGUGGUGGCUCAUGCCUGUAAUCCCAGCACUUUGGGAGGCCGAGGCAGGUGGAUCACCUGAGGUCAGGAGUUCAAGACCAGCCUGGCCAACAUGGUGAAACCCCGUCUCUU